UACGUAGGGUGCAAGCGUUGUCCGGAAUUAUUGGGCGUAAGAGCUCGUAGGCGGUCUGUCGCGUCGGCUGUGAAAACCUAGGGCUCAACCUGGGCCUGCAGCCGAUACGGGCAGACUAGAAUUCGGUAGGGGAGACUGGAAUUCCUGGUGUAGCGGUGAAAUGCGCAGAUAUCAGGAGGAACACCGGUGGCGAAGGCGGGUCUCUGGGCCGAUAUUGACGCUGAGGAGCGAAAGCGUGGGGAGCGAACAGG
rnacentral:rRNA from 1 species